UGCAAGUCGAGCGAGCUGAAUUCAAAGAUCCCUUCGGGGUGAUUUGUUGGACGCUAGCGGCGGAUGGGUGAGUAACACGUGGGCAAUCUGCCCUAAAGACUGGGAUACCACUUGGAAACAGGUGCUAAUACCGGAUAACAACAUGAAUCGCAUGAUUCAAGUUUGAAAGGCGGCGCAAGCUGUCACUUUAGGAUGAGCCCGCGGCGCAUUAGCUAGUUGGUGGGGUAAAGGCCUACCAAGGCAAUGAUGCGUAGCCGAGUUGAGAGACUGAUCGGCCACAUUGGGACUGAGACACGGCCCAAACUCCUACGGGAGGCAGCAGUAGGGAAUCUUCCACAAUGGACGCAAGUCUGAUGGAGCAACGCCGCGUGAGUGAAGAAGGUCUUCGGAUCGUAAAGCUCUGUUGUUGGUGAAGAAGGAUAGAGGCAGUAACUGGUCUUUAUUUGACGGUAAUCAACCAGAAAGUCACGGCUAACUACGUGCCAGCAGCCGCGGUAAUACGUAGGUGGCAAGCGUUGUCCGGAUUUAUUGGGCGUAAAGCGAGCGCAGGCGGAAUGAUAAGUCUGAUGUGAAAGCCCACGGCUCAACCGUGGAACUGCAUCGGAAACUGUCAUUCUUGAGUGCAGAAGAGGAGAGUGGAACUCCAUGUGUAGCGGUGGAAUGCGUAGAUAUAUGGAA
rnacentral:rRNA from 1 species